UGGCAAUAGAAAAAAAAUCAAAUAUGGCUAACGAAUAUGUGCAAUGGGCACCAUAACAUUUCACUGAAGUAAUUAUUUUAUGAACCAUGAAAGCCAUGAUCGUCUAAACUCUUACUUUUAAACACAAACAAGCUUUUUGAUUUUGAUUUUAUUUGUUUUGUAAUCAAGGUGAUGCAAGAAUGGUUAAACUUCUCAUCGAAAACCGCACUGACGUCAAUGAUCAAGGCGUGGAUGGACAGACAGCACUUCAUAUGGCUGCACGGCAAGGAAAAGUGGAAGUUGUGGAAUUUCUCGUCAAACACGACAUCAAAGUCGACACUAAAACCAAAAAAAGGAGAAACAGCUCUUCAUGAGAAGGGUGGAAUAAAGAUCGUUCAUGAAUUCUGCCCAUAUGGUGAUCUCAAAAGUUUCUUAGUGAAAAAUAGAGAAUCGGUUGCUAGUCAAAGUGAGACAAACACGAAUAGAAUAGGCGCUUAUGUCGGAAUUUCUGAAUUCGUAGAAGAAAAUCCUCCUGUAACAUCAUUAAUUUCGCCUUUGACACCCAUCUUCCCAUACACAACAACGGAUUUGCUUAAAUGGCCGGCUCAAGUGGCAAGCGGAUUUUCAUCUUUGGCUUCGAAUGAUCCUUCCAUCGUAAACCGCGAUUUAGCUGCAAGAAACAUUUUGUUGUGUGCGGAUAAAACGGUUAAAAUUGGGGAUUUUGGUUUAUCACGGACACUGAACGGAAGUAAAUAUUAUAUAAAAAUAUCAUGGGCUCCUGAUCCAGAGCCAUGGAUGGCCAUAGAGUCACGGCAAGAAGGAACUAAGCAGAAAUUCAGUGUAAAAUCUGAUGUUUGGUCGUUUGGUGUUGUGCUUUGGGAACUAUUUUCAGAAGGAAACAAUCCACGUCUCUUUACGGUGGAACAAUUGGAAAAUGGGAUGCGAUUAUCAAAACCAGAAAAGGCUUUAGAAAAAAUGUGAGAAUAGAAGAGUUAACUUCAUGAGUUGAGGACUUUUAACUAACGCUUCAAAUGCGAGGGGGAAAUCACUCUUUGAAUUACUUUUUCUAUUACUUUUUGGCACGCUAUUACUUUAGUAAAUUACGAAAGUAAUUAAACGGUCAUGUCAAAGUUUGACGUUUGUCAAACAUUGGUUUUGUAAUACCAGAAGAUAUAAAAUUGAGCUUGAAUUAUAGCCUAAUGAAGUCUUGCUGGCGAAAAAAUCCAGAACAUCGUCCAACAGAUGAUCUAGAGAAAGCGCUGUAUAAAAUGUAUUUGGAUGCACUAAAACGUGAUGGAAAAUGUUCAAUAACCGUGACAGGAGAUGAAGAGUUAGUGCAAGUGUAAGCUAAUCAGAGAAGACAUCUGAUGCCACAGAGGCAUGAUUCCAGUUCGGAUUAUAAUUCAUCUUUCCAAGUUGCAGUUAUAUAAUAGUAAGAAUAAAAUAUGGUAGAAAUAUAUUUAUAGACAAAAUUGAGCGUAGAGUAUGUUUUAUGGACUUUGUUUUGAUAGAAGCGAACAAGUAUUAUUCAAUUUUUAAAAAAAGGUUGAAGGAUAUUAUGUACAUUUGACGUGGUUUUUAGCGUAACUGGUUACAGAUACAAAUGCAGUGUCCCCAGCAAAGAUGUAGCGUUCGAGAGUCAAUGACUUUGCUGCAGACAUUAUGUCUUAUACAUUACCCUAUAAACGGCAACAACGCAAGACAUGUAAACAUACUCUAUGCCAACGCAAACGAAAUCAUAAAGAAGUAAACUCGCCUCUCCAAAAAAUUAAAUCAAAGGAAUACUGUCCUCUUAGUCUUUCUCAUAGAUUUAAUUUAGAUGUUUGUUUAGUGAAAAAUAGAAAAGAGCAUGACUCAAACCGCAAACCAAGUGA